CACUCCUGCGGGAGGCAGCAGUGGGGAAUUUUGGACAAUGGGCGAAAGCCUGAUCCAGCAAUGCCGCGUGAGUGAAGAAGGCCUUCGGGUUGUAAAGCUCUUUUGUCAGGGAAGAAACGGUGAGAGCUAAUAUCUUUUGCUAAUGACGGUACCUGAAGAAUAAGCACCGGCUAACUACGUGCCAGCAGCCGCGGUAAUACGUAGGGUGCAAGCGUUAAUCGGAAUUACUGGGCGUAAAGCGUGCGCAGGCGGUUUUGUAAGUCUGAUGUGAAAUCCCCGGGCUCAACCUGGGAAUUGCAUUGGAGACUGCAAGGCUAGAAUCUGGCAGAGGGGGGUAGAAUUCCACGUGUAGCAGUGAAAUGCGUAGAUAUGUGGAGGAACACCGAUGGCGAAGGCAGCCCCCUGGGUCAAGAUUGACGCUCAUGCACGAAAGCGUGGGGAGCAAACAGGAUUAGAUACCCUUGUAGUCCCAUGAU
rnacentral:rRNA from 1 species